ACAACCUUACUUGAACAAGAUCUGUUCUCUAGGCUCGUAUCACUGUAUCUUUGAUUUCUAAGGAGACAGAAAACCAAGUCUGGUGAAUGAUUUGUGGCCAUUAUACCAGAGCGUGAAUAACAUCACCCAUGGCUGUGUUUGGGUCAUGGCCGUAGUAGAUGAUCGUUGUCAGCUCCGACCAUGGUGCACCUGGGAAUAGUAUAAUGGCUGUCUGACAGACU